rnacentral:rRNA from 1 species
AAGGAAUAUUGGUCAAUGGGCGCAAGCCUGAACCAGCCAUGCCGCGUGCAGGAAGACGGCCCUAUGGGUUGUAAACUGCUUUGUCAGGGAAUAAACCCCCGCUCGUGAGCGGGGCUGAAGGUACCUGAAGAAUAAGCAUCGGCUAACUCCGUGCCAGCAGCCGCGGUAAUACGGAGGAUGCAAGCGUUAUCCGGAUUCAUUGGGUUUAAAGGGUGCGCAGGCGGAUUGGUAAGUCAGGGGUGAAAUCCCACAGCUCAGCUGUGGAACUGCCUUUGAUACUGUCAGUCUAGAGUAUAGUUGAAGUGGGCGGAAUGUGUCAUGUAGCGGUGAAAUGCUUAGAUAUGACACAGAACACCGAUCGCGAAGGCAGCUCGCUAAGCUAUAACUGACGCUCAUGCACGAAAGCGUGGGGAUCAAACAG